GACACAAAGUGCAGCAACAGUGAAAAUGAAACCUUCUUAAACAAAACAGUAAUAAUACCACACUCAUUUUACACUCUUCAUAAGGUUGGGAUACUGUGCCCUCCAAAAGUAUCGGAACACUUGGAAUUCCACACAUUAUACUUUGUUUAUGCCAUUUCAAAUACAAAUAAAUAAAUACA